AUUAUCUCAAUGGUAGGAUACUACGUCAUCGCGCACCUGCUAAAUGCUCCCACUUGGACCAUUUUUUCGUCGACUCAAAGAGAUCACUUCUUUGAUUCUGUAGAAUGACGUCGUUGGGCAGGAACAAGGUGCCAUGGCAAAGUAUCAACUGACAGGAUCACUGUACAAAAAGGUGCACUUGGCUUGUGUUGCAUCCGAAGGGAUAAUUCAAAAUUAUUGCCAACAACAAGCUAGAACUAUAAGACUUUAAAUGGGCAGUUUGGAUCUCAAGAAUAAAGUUUUGUUUAGAUGUUAAAAAAUUGUGGUGUUUUACAAAGAAGUCAUUAUACAUUGUUUAGUACCAUACCGGAUUAAGAUUCUGUUGGACUCAUGCACAUAUUAGAGGCCAGCAUUUAUUCAAUAAUUGCUGGCUUUAAUAUCUUGUUAAUAAUUUAAAACCCAAUGGUUUGCGUGUUUGUUAAACUUGUGAUUUAGGUUUUAAAACAGCAAAAUGGUACGUUUAUGAACAUAAAGAAGUCAAUAUCUAUCGGUUGAUUUGAAUAGUUUAUUAAAGAACAUCAUGUAAAUCAGUUUUGUCAUGAACUGGUUAAAAAGUCAAUGUACUGCCAUACUACGGCGUCACAAUUAUUUACAACUUUGACAAUUUUAAGUAUGAAAGUUAUCAUGUGUACGUAUUUUUACCUAAAUAAAAAAAUAAGAAAACAAA